CCAGACUCCUACGGGAGGCAGCAGUGGGGAAUAUUGGGCAAUGGGCGCAAGCCUGACCCAGCAACGCCGCGUGAAGGAAGAAGGCUUUCGGGUUGUAAACUUCUUUUAUUGAGGACGAAACAAAUGACGGUACUCAAUGAAUAAGCCACGGCUAACUACGUGCCAGCAGCCGCGGUAAUACGUAGGUGGCAAGCGUUAUCCGGAUUUAUUGGGUGUAAAGGGCGUGUAGGCGGGAAAGCAAGUCAGAUGUGAAAACUAUGGGCUCAACCCAUAGCCUGCAUUUGAAACUGUUUUUCUUGAGUGCUGGAGAGGCAAUCGGAAUUCCGUGUGUAGCGGUGAAAUGCGUGGAUAUACGGAGGAACACCGGUGGCGAAGGCGGCCUGCUGGACUGCAACUGACGUUGAGGCCCGAAAGCGUGGGGAGCAAACAGGAUUAGAUACCCGAGUA
rnacentral:rRNA from 1 species